GAUGAACGCUGGCGGCGUGCUUAACACAUGCAAGUCGAACGGUGAAGGCGGAGCUUGCCCUGCUGAAUCAGUGGCGAACGGGUGAGUAACACGUGAGCAAUCUGCCCCUGACUCUGGGAUAAGCGCUGGAAACGGCGUCUAAUACUGGAUACGAGCUGCGAAGGCAUCUUCAGCAGCUGGAAAGAAUUUCGGUCAGGGAUGAGCUCGCGGCCUAUCAGCUUGUUGGUGAGGUAAUGGCUCACCAAGGCGUCGACGGGUAGCCGGCCUGAGAGGGUGACCGGCCACACUGGGACUGAGACACGGCCCAGACUCCUACGGGAGGCAGCAGUGGGGAAUAUUGCACAAUGGGCGAAAGCCUGAUGCAGCAACGCCGCGUGAGGGACGACGGCCUUCGGGUUGUAAACCUCUUUUAGCAGGGAAGAAGCGAAAGUGACGGUACCUGCAGAAAAAGCGCCGGCUAACUACGUG
rnacentral:rRNA from 1 species